AAUAGAUACCCCGGUAGUCCACGCCGUAAACGAUGAGUGCUAAGUGUUAGAGGGUUUCCGCCCUUUAGUGCUGCAGCUAACGCAUUAAGCACUCCGCCUGGGGAGUACGGCCGCAAGGCUGAAACUCAAAGGAAUUGACGGGGGCCCGCACAAGCGGUGGAGCAUGUGGUUUAAUUCGAAGCAACGCGAAGAACCUUACCAGGUCUUGACAUCCUCUGACAACCCUAGAGAUAGGGCUUUCCCCUUCGGGGGUACAGAGUGACAGGUGGUGCAUGGUUGUCGUCAGCUCGUGUCGUGAGAUGUUGGGUUAAGUCCCGCAACGAGCGCAACCCUUGAUCUUAGUUGCCAGCAUUCAGUUGGGCACUCUAAGGUGACUGCCGGUGACAAACCGGAGGAAGGUGGGGAUGACGUCAAAUCAUCAUGCCCCUUAUGACCUGGGCUACACACGUGCUACAAUGGAUGGUACAAAGGGCUGCAAACCUGCGAAGGUAAGCGAAUCCCAUAAAGCCAUUCUCAGUUCGGAUUGCAGG
rnacentral:rRNA from 1 species